AUUGAACGCUGGCGGCAUGCUUUACACAUGCCAGUUGAACGGCAGCGCGGGCUUCGGCCUGGCGGCGAGUGGCGAACGGGUGAGUAAUACAUCGGAACGUGCCCAGUAGUGGGGGAUAGCUCGGCGAAAGCCGGAUUAAUACCGCAUACGACCUGAGGGUGAAAGCGGGGGAUCUUCGGACCUCGCGCUAUUGGAGCGGCCGAUGGCAGAUUAGCUAGUUGGUGGGGUAAAGGCCUACCAAGGCGACGAUCUGUAGCUGGUCUGAGAGGACGACCAGCCACACUGGGACUGAGACACGGCCCAGACUCCUACGGGAGGCAGCAGUGGGGAAUUUUGGACAAUGGGCGAAAGCCUGAUCCAGCAAUGCCGCGUGUGUGAUGAAGGCCUUCGGGUUGUAAAGCACUUUUGGCGGGAACGAAAAGGACUGUGCCAAUACCACGGUUCGAUGACGGUACCCGCAGAAUAAGCACCGGCUAACUACGUG
rnacentral:rRNA from 1 species